GCCGGAGUGGUGGAAUGGCAGACACCAGGGACUUAAAAUCCCUUGUCAAGUUUUUGACGUGCGGGUUCGAGUCCCGCCUCCGGCACCA
rnacentral:tRNA from 1 species